rnacentral:rRNA from 1 species
UACGUAGGGAGCAAGCGUUGUCCGGAAUCAUUGGGCGUAAAGCGCGUGUAGGCGGCCCGGUAAGUCCGCUGUGAAAGUCCAGGGCUCAACCCUUGAAUGCCGGCGGAUACUGUCGGGCUAGAGUCCGGAAGAGGCGAGUGGAAUUCCCGGUGUAGCGGUGAAAUGCGCAGAUAUCGGGAGGAACACCUAUGGCGAAGGCAGCUCGCUGGGACGGUACUGACGCUGAGACGCGAAAGCGUGGGGAGCAAACAGG